AUUGAACGCUGGCGGCAUGCCUUACACAUGCAAGUCGAACGGCGGCGGGCCUUCGGGUGCCGGCGAGUGGCGAACGGGUGAGUAAUGCAUCGGAACGUGCCAUUGAGUGGGGGAUAACGUAGCGAAAGUUACGCUAAUACCGCAUAUUCUGUGAGCAGGAAAGCAGGGGGACCGCAAGGCCUUGCGCUCUUUGAGCGGCCGAUGUCAGAUUAGCUAGUUGGUGAGGUAAAGGCUUACCAAGGCGACGAUCUGUAGCGGGUCUGAGAGGAUGAUCCGCCACACUGGAACUGAGACACGGUCCAGACUCCUACGGGAGGCAGCAGUGGGGAAUUUUGGACAAUGGGCGCAAGCCUGAUCCAGCCAUGCCGCGUGAGUGAAGAAGGCCUC
rnacentral:rRNA from 1 species